AUGUCCCUUCAGCUGAACCUAAACCUAAUUGAUCUCCCCUCUUUCUUCGUUAAGCUUCGGCGAGAAUUUAGACAAAGGUACCUCCGCACCAAAGGAGGCUGGUACUCGAUGGCUAUUACGGCCUACAGAUUUGCCUUCAUCUCUUCUUCGCCGUCCUCCCUCUCACCGUUAACGAACUCGAUUCGACCGUCUCGCUCUCCCCUCCACUUUGCUUCAGACAGUGCGACUCUCUUCUUAUCCGAUCGAAACAUAAGGCAGUUGUUUCUUAUUCAUCUCAACUCACAAGAUUUGAUCGUAAUCACAUCAGAAUGUUAA